CACCGGCAACUCUAGUGGUAGCAGUUUUUAUUGGGCCUAAAGCGUCCGUAGCCGGUUUAAUAAGUCUCUGGUGAAAUCCUGUAGCUUAACUGUGGGAAUAGCUGGAGAUACUAUUAGACUUGAGACCGGGAGAGGUUAGAGGUACUCCCAGGGUAGAGGUGAAAUUCUGUAAUCCUGGGAGGACCGCCUGUUGCGAAGGCGUCUAACUGGAACGGUUCUGACGGUGAGGGACGAAAGUUAGGGGCGCGAACCGGAUUAGAUACCCGGGUAGUCCUAACUGUAAACGAUGCGGACUUGGUGUUGGGGUGGCUUUGAGCUGCUCCAGUGCCGAAGGGAAGCUGUUAAGUCCGCCGCCUGGGAAGUACGGUCGCAAGACUGAAACUUAA
rnacentral:rRNA from 1 species